rnacentral:rRNA from 1 species
GGCGCGAAAACUUUACAAUGCUGGCAACAGCGAUAAGGGAACCUCGAGUGCCAGGUUACAAAUCUGGCUGUCGAGAUGCCUAAAAAGCAUUUCAUAGCAAGGGCCGGGCAAGACCGGUGCCAGCCGCCGCGGUAACACCGGCGGCUCGAGUGGUAACCGUUAUUAUUGGGUCUAAAGGGUCUGUAGCCGGCCGGAUAAGUCUCUUGAGAAAUCUGGCAGCUUAACUGUCAGGCUUUCAGGUGAUACUGUCUGGCUCGAGGCCGGGAGAGGUGAGAGGUACUUCAGGGGUAGUGGUGAAAUCAUGUAAUCCUUGAAGGACCACCAGUGGCGAAGGCGUCUCACCAGAACGGACCUGACGGCAAGGGACGAAAGCCAGGGGCACGAACCGGAUUAGAAACCCGUGUAGUCC